rnacentral:rRNA from 1 species
AGAGUUUGAUUAUGGCUCAGAACGAACGCUGGCGGCAGGCCUCAUACAUGCAAGUCGCACGAUUAAAGCUCCCUUCGGGGAGUGUAUAAAGUGGCAAACGGGUGAGUAACAGGUGGAUAAUCUGCCCCUUGGCGGGGGAUAACGGUUGGAAACGAUCGCUAAUACCGCAUGUGAUUGCGAGUUCUUCGGAAUUUGCAAAGAAAGGCGCUUCACGGCGCCGCCAAGGGAUGAGUCCGCCCCCCAUUAGCUAGUUGGUAAGGUAACGGCUUACCAAGGCAUCGAUGGGUAGCCGAGCUGAGAGGUUGAUCGGCCACACUGGGACUGAGAUACGGCCCAGACACCUACGGGUGGCAGCAGUAGGGAAUAUUGCGCAAUGGACGAAAGUCUGACGCAGCCAUGCCGCGUGAGUGAUGAAGGCCUUCGGGUCGUAAAGCUCUUUUCUGAGGGAAGAACAUCUAGCGCAGGAAAUGGCGCUGGCUUGACGGUACCUCAGGAAUAAGGAGCGGCUAACUCCGUGCCAGCAGCCGCGGUAAUACGGAGGCUCCUAGCGUUGUUCGGAAUUACUGGGCGUAAAGGGAGCGCAGGCGGAUUGAUUAGUCUGAAGUGGAAGUCCGGGGCUCAACCUCGGAAGUGCUUCGGAUACUGUCAAUCUUGAGAUCGUGAGAGGAAAGCGGAAUUCAGGGUGUAGCGGUGAAAUGCUUAGAUAUCCUGAGGAACACCAAUGGCGAAAGCAGCUUUCUGGCACUGAUCUGACGCUGAGGCUCGAAAGCGUGGGUAGCGAACGGGAUUAGAUACCCCGGUAGUCCACGCCGUAAACGUUGUCAACUAGGUGCGAGAGGUAUCGACCCCUUUCGUG